GUUUUCCUGAAUGGAAAGUCACAGACUCUCAUUUUAAAGGUGAAGAGCUUGCAUGUACACAGACGAGCUGUAGAGCUGCGCAAGAUUUGCAAUGCUUCAGUCUCACAUACAUAAGCUGUCCUGAAGUGGUCAUGACAACACACAGGUGAGUCUGG